rnacentral:rRNA from 1 species
UACGUAGGGUGCAAGCGUUAAUCGGAAUUACUGGGCGUAAAGCGUGCGCAGGCGGUUAUGUAAGACAGAUGUGAAAUCCCCGGGCUUAACCUGGGAACUGCAUUUGUGACUGCAUGGCUGGAGUGCGGCAGAGGGGGGUGGAAUUCCGCGUGUAGCAGUGAAAUGCGUAGAGAUGCGGAGGAACACCGAUGGCGAAGGCAGCCCCCUGGGCUAGCACUGACGCUCAGGCACGAAAGCGUGGGGAGCAAACAGG